rnacentral:lncRNA from 1 species
CCCUCAAUUUCUCUGAAACAGCCUCCCAGCUAGUCUCCAUUAUUCAGGUCUCUCCUGGUUCUGUUCCAUCAUUCGCCCUGUAAAGGCAAAUAACCUUUCUAAAAUAUAAACCUAAUUAUUUUGCUUUUCCAAGGAGAAUUGUCCACUUGCUCCCAGUAGCCUGUAAGUAAACUCAAGCUAUUUAGCAUAGGAAAUCAUCCUGUCCUGGAUCU